ACAGAGGGUGCUAGCGUUGUUCGGAAUCAUUGGGCGUAAAGGGCGUGUAGGCGGUUUGUUAAGUCAUGUGUGAAAUCCCUCGGCUCAACCGGGGAACGACGCAUGAAACUGGCAAGCUAGAGUACCAAAGAGGGGGGUGGAAUUCCCGGUGUAGCGGUGAAAUGCGUAGAGAUCGGGAGGAACAUCAGUGGCGAAGGCGGCCAUCUGGGACAACACUGACGCUGAAGCACGAAAGCGUGGGGAGCAAACAGGA
rnacentral:rRNA from 1 species